ensembl:piRNA 21ur-6473 ncRNA
UCAAUUAGUCGAUUUUGAUCU